AAGAUCAUACUUCACAGGAUCACUUCUGUAGUUGAUCUUGUACCCCUUGCACUCAGUGCGAGGGGAAUGGGAAGUGGAGCUUUCUGA